UACGGAGGUGGCGAGCGUGUUCGGAAUUAACUGGGCGUAAAGCGUGCGCAGGCGGUUUUGUAAGCCAGAUGUGAAAUCCCCGGGCUUAACCUGGGAAUGGCAUUUGGGACUGCAAGGCUUGAGUGCGGCAGAGGAGACUGGAAUUCCUGGUGUAGCGGUGGAAUGCGCAGAUAUCAGGAGGAACACCGGUGGCGAAGGCGGGUCUCUGGGCAGUAACUGACGCUGAGGAGCGAAAGCGUGGGGAGCGAACAGG
rnacentral:rRNA from 1 species